rnacentral:piRNA from 1 species
UAAACACUCGUUCUUAACGUCCU